GAACAAGAGAGUGAGAGAGAGGGAAGGCAGAGGAAGCAAUACGGAUAAUGGUUCUCUUAGGCCUUUUUUUACGUACGUUAUUGUCACAGUGGCUUUUACCUAAUGGACUCUAUCCCUGUCCCCUAUUCUUCCCUAUGGUUUUGCUGGGCUGACAAAAAGAGUUAUGCUAUGUAACUAAAUAAAGCCUGAUCCAUGUGUAUAGUACCAUCAACGUAGCAGGCACAGACCCUCUAAGUGUCUCUAUUUUCCAGGGACACUUUCCAGUUUCUGAUUUCAUCCUGGAAUGUCCCGCUUUUCCUUUGUUGUUGUUUAGUGAUGUUCCUAUUUUCAUUGGAGAAAUGUUGGAGGCUAUGGAGUUAUCCAACCCCCAAGCCAUCUGAAGGCAAUCCUGUACAGGGAGGUUUUUCUUUUAAUGUUUAAUGUUGUUUACGUAUGUUGGAAGCUGCCCAGAGUGGCUGGGGCAAACCAGUAAGAUAUCUGGGGUAUAAAUAGUAAGGUUAUCAUUAUGGAAUGGGAUGUCCCUAUUUCCAUUGGAGAAAUGUUGGAGGGUAUGCAGGCAUUGGGAGGACCAGCCAUGGGGGCGGGGCAAGCGUCCCAGGGGGCGAGAUGCCCAUGGGGGCGGAGCGAGCAGCCCAUGGGGGGUGAAGCGAGCUGUCCAUGGUGGGCUGCUUCUUGGGCAGUGGGAGUGAGCCGUGCCGUGCCGCUUUGCCAGCAGCCUUCCUCCCUUCCUUCUUCAUUUGACAACUCAGGGAGCCGCCCCCCCCGAAAGCAGCCCAUGAGUGGUGGGCAAUGGCGCACUGUCUGCCCGGGACUCCCAAGCCUCCCCUGAGCUGUCAAAACAAAGGGGGGAGGGGAAAAGGCUGCCCACAAGGUGGCGCAGCUCCGCCCCUUCCCCGAGGGCUCGGGGGAGGCUUGAGGGUCCUAGGCGGGCAGUGCGCCAAAUGCCACCCUCCUCAGUAAUGACACCCAGAGCGGACCAUCCCCACCCCCCCUUCCUCCACCCCUGCUGUAGCUCAAUGGUACAGCACUUUUGCAUGACUUGCAGGCAGAAGUUCCCUGAUUCAAUUCCCCAGCACCUCCAAGUAAGGCUGAACCUUUUUUAAAAAAAAUACCUUGUAGAAAUCACAUUGGGAAGCAAAGCCAGAGAUUGGUUCAAGUGAGUCUCGUGGACGUAUGUAUGCAUGCAUGUAAGCUAUCCAUACUUCAUGCUCCCAUCUGCAAGGGAAAGAGACACCCUCGACUAUUUUGUGGGUGUAAAUAACUGUAUGCAAAGUAGCGCUGUUCCAAAAUCUGUCCCCCAAUUUUGUGAAAGUUUUCUCCCCCUUGGAAAGAGGCUUCCAUUUUUUCUGACACUUUCUCAGGACCCUUUAUAAUUUCAGUGGGUACAGAAUUUUGACCUUACCUUAUUCUUGCAAGCAAGGUGCCUCUGGGCUGGGGUGUGUGUGCCUGGUUUCUUUCUAAUACAGUGGUACCUCGGGUUAAGUACUUAAUUCAUUCCGGAGGUCUGUUCUUAACCUGAAGCACCACUUUAGCUAAUGGGGCCUCCUGCUGCCGCCACGCCGCCGGAGCCCGAUUUCUGUUCUUAUCCUGAAGCACUAUUUCUGGGUUAGCAGAGUGUGUAACCUGAAGCGUAUGUAACCCGAGGUACCACUGUAAACAUUUAUACAGCAUUCUACAGCCUCCCUGGCUGCUCAUGCAGGGAAAAGGUUGCCUCAUAAUAGUCCUUUCCUGGCCUUUAAUUGAAGUGUGGGCACUCAGGGAGGCUACAGAGUGCAGGCCUCUGGAAAGAUGAUUUGAACACUGGAAAAAGGACACUAAAAGACCACCCCUAAGAAGCAAGAGAAUCAUGAAAAUUAAUUACCCCACCAAUGAGAGUUUCAACAAUUUUUUCUCUGCCCUUUGGUAAUUUUCAAAAGCAAUUUAUUUUCUCAUUAAUUGAUGGACAUUGAUGAUCAGAGACAGUAAUGCUUUGUCAGGAGUGCAUGCAGGAGCCGGGACCUGUGACUUGUAGGGCCUCGCAGGGCUGGGGCCUUCCUGAGUUUGGCCUGGAAGAGCAAGGCGUGGCCGCACAGGUGAGGCUUGACAGAAGACUCAUAGCACCUGGUGGCAAGGGCUAUGAGGGGUACUGUAUAUAAGACCAGCAUUUCGCCUUGGCUCUUUGUCACAGCAACAAGCUACCCACCUGGCUGUGCUUCGGCUUCCUGACUCCCAGUUUCCUGACUCUUGGACCCUUGGCUUCUUGACUCCUGGUUUCCUGACCCUCAGACUCUUGGCUACCUGACUCCUGGUUUCCUGAUUUGUGGACUCUUGGCUUCCUGUCCCGUGGACUGCUGACCCUGGACUGCUGAUUCCUGCUUUCCGACCUCUACCCCAGUCCCGACGUACCAAGCUGGGAGUCCAACUGCCUGUAACCUGGACCGUGACAUGCUUCUGAAUGCUAGUUGAGGGAACCUCAGGAGGGGAGAGUGACCUUGUGCUAGUGUCUUGCUUGCAGGUUUCCUAGAGGCAUCUAAUUGGCCACUGUGAGAGCAGGAUGCUGGACUAGAUGGACCAUUGGCCUGAUCCAGUAGGCUCUUCUUAUGUUCUUAUGGGAUAUAAACACAUUGGGACAGAGAUCUGAGACUGCCAGUGCAAUGUAAGAGUUUGAUUAGCACAAGGGAGAUAUAAGGUUCUAGAAAUCAGCAAUGGAGCUCACUGGGUGACUUUGCUCCAGUUGCUAUCUCUUAACCUACUCUUACCUCACAACACUGUGGUGAGAAUAUCCAGGAGAGAAGGAACUGUUUCCUUGGUCUUCUUAGACUAGGAACGGGGGAAAUGUGGCCCACCAGAUGCUGUUAGACUUAAUCUCCCAUUGUCCCUAGGCAUUGGCCACACUUGCUGAGGAUGAUGGGAAAUGAAGUCCAGCAACAUUCUGAAGGCCACCAUUGCUGUAGAGAAAGGGUAGGAGAAAUAGGCAAUAAGUAAAUGGUUUAUUUCUCACCACAAAAGGAGAAGCUGAUACAUAGUGCUUAGGCAGUUAAUUACUGGCAAAGAGCAAGAAGCUACUGAUAUGAAGAAAUAAAUUCUGCACGGGUGUUUCUAAUUGCUCCGCAUGGAAGGAAAUGAGCAUUCCCAGGACUUCAUGGUGUUUAACUUGGGUCUGCGCUCACACCUGUCACCAGCAUUGGGAUAUGCAUUGAAGGCAGGAGGGGAAAGUAUUCUAUGCUGUGAAAUUCUCCAGUGUUGUUCCAGUUGGUUGUGUAACUAGGGAAGAGAAGUUAACGAAGCAAAAAAAAAAAAAAAGAAGGGAAAAAAAAAAACCAGCAACAGCUGCUGGAUCCUGCUACCAAGCCAGUGGCUUCUGCUAAUGUCUUCGAUAGGGGAACAGAAACUGUCUGCCAGUCUCUCUCUCUGUUUCUCCCCCUCUCUCCUGCCAAUGAUGCCUGGAACUGGAUAGAGUGGGUGCAAAUUGCAUCCCGAAAUUAUGCUGUAAGAGCCAAUGCAGGAAGUUCAAGGCGGAUGUUAUUCAUUUGGCCCGGGCAGUCGGGGAAACAGCAUCACCUUCAGUGUUCGGAAAGAGCUAAACUUUUUACCUUAUGUGAACCAGAGAGGGGGAAAGCUUCGUAAUAUGAUAAGAAGCAUCCCCUAGUGCCUUUACAGUCUUGAGAGGUUCUGAUGAUUUGAAGAACUUCAAAAGCUAUGUGGAGUUUAAUUCUGCCCCUAUUCUAGCAUCAUUAGAAUUGGAGUUAAAUGUGAAGGGGGCAGCAGUGGGAGGUGCAGGAGGGUGUGACGGCUUCCCAGUAGCACAGCAUUGCCACUUGCCAGAAUGGGAAUGGGAUGGGGCAAGGUUGAGGGAGCCCCAUCCUGAGGAGUUGCUCUGCCAGAUGGUACCGCUGACAAUCCCCCCAGUGUGGCACUGUCGAUAGGGCAAAGGACUGUGUACAACAGCCACUGCUGCCAAAGUCCAUAUUGCCACUGCCUUCACUGCUAAUCUUUGUAAGAUCAUAGGUCAUAGAAUCAGAGUUGGGAGGUGUGUUCAUUGUGAAGUUCUGACGGUUGAAACCCAGAGCUAUUUAAUAAUAAACCCCUCUUCCUACUGAACUCUGGGAAUUGUAGCUCUGUUGAGGGAAUAGGGGCCUCUUAACAACUUGUAACACCCUUAACAAAAGUGUUAAAGUGGUAUCAUAAUGCUUUAAAUGCAUAGUGUAGGUUGCUUCUGUUGGGGGGGGCAGUGUUUUAUCAACAGACCUCAGUAAUUGGGGGUUGCGGAGAGUGAAGCACACUGUGCCCCAUUCCAAAUUCAGAAAGGGAAAAAUAAAUAAAUAACCAUAAUGCUUUGGUUCAACUGUUUUGUGUGUUUUUUUUGGUGGGGGGGGGGGCGAUUGUAUCCAAUGACACUUACAGUAUGCACUAACAGAAAACAUUUCCACACAGGUGGGAGCAUCCAGUUUUGAAGAAACUUCUCCUGAGGAUUGAAGGACACCCCAGGAUGUGGCAUUAGGUACCGGUGAGGGGGGCGGAAUCAGCCAAAAUUGGGUGCUCUGUUUUGUGUAGGUGUGCAUGCUUUAGUUCAGGAGUAGGAAGUUUGGCCCUCCCAUUGUUCCUGGAAUGCAAGGAAAUGUAACACUGUUCCCAUUUUACAUUUUGUGAUGUUCCAUUCUAGCAGGACUUUUCUUUUAAGCGUCCACAAAGCCUUGGAAAUGUUCCUAUGAAAUCUUGCAUCCAAGGAUAAUGGAAAUCAACUUAUUCCCUUUUCCAAAUGUCAUUAUCUGAUGUUAUAAGCCAGCUUUCAUAUCAGGCAAGUUGUUAAGUCCACUAGAUCUGAAAUUCUAUUUGAGUAAAUGUGUUUUCUUGAUUCUAAAGGUUAUAUCCUAAUGUUAAUGAUAAGUGGCGCUUUCUCUUUCUAAUGAUUUGUAAAGUCUUUUGAGCUAGCAAACGUGCUGCUAGAUGAAACUUCAGCCAUGGCUAAUUUUCAGUUUGAUGAUCAACUUUCUUAGAGGGGAGGGAGGCCUACUUUUUCAUUGAUUUAACAUCCUCUUCUGAAUGUAAGGAAAACUAAAAGGGAGGGAGAUGUACACAAGACUGAAGGCAGAUUUAAAAUGUACCCUGAAUGUGGUAUAUAUAAUAACUCAGUGGUAGAAUAUCUGCUUUGUAUGCAGAGAGUUUCAGGUUCAAUCCCUGGGAUCUCCACAUAGGGCCAGGAGAAACCAUUGCCUGAAGUCUUCGAGAGCUGAUGACUGUGGACAGUCCUGAGAUAAAUGGAUCCAUGGUCUGACUUGGCACAAGGCAGUUUCUUAUAUUCCUAGGAAUACAUUUUCAAGAAUUCACAAUACUUUAAAACCACAGAUUCACCUCUGUUCAGGCUGACAGUGUAUUAAUGAGGUCACUGAAGUUGUUUCACUCCAAUUGCUAAUCUAUUCAUAGCUUACCACCAGAACAGGAAAACCCAAGGUCUUCCAUUAAAUAGCCCUUUGCUUCGAUACUUACUUGCAAACCUUGGGUUAUAGAUCAUGUUCUCUCAGCCCUGGGGAAAGAUCCAAGAGUGAAGGUAGCCAGAGAAAUUGAGGCAAAGGAGACCAACUUGAAAAUAGAUUGAAAUAUGGAAGCAUGGUCUUAAAUUACAGUCUGCUUAAAAGCAUGUGCUGUCUUAUCCAAAAGAAUACUAGGACACCAGAUAAAGCAGAUGGAUCUUGGGCCUAGUCCCACAUAGCUACUAAAAUUUUUAAUGGCCUUGGGUAAGUCAUUAUCACUCAACCUCAGUUUUCCGUCCAUAAAAUGAGGGAAAUGUUCCCACCGGAACAAUGGGAGGGCAAUGGAAAAAAAAGUUGAUAAAACAUGGUAAAAUGCAGUGCUUUUUUCAGGGGGUACUCAAGGGUGCACAGUAUCAGAACCGCUUUUAUGUUGUUAAAAAAAUGUGGCACUUGCUGUCCGUGGUGGAAGGUGCCCCACUGGCGUCUGGGGUGCAGAAGAGGGCACCCCACUGAAGCGGCUACAGUGGACGCUCAGGUUGUGAACAUGAUCCGUGCAGGAGGCACGUUCAGAACCCGCAGCGCUGUGUCUGCACUUGCGUGGGUUGUGAUUCGGUGCUUCUGCGCACGCGCAAACUGCGAAUUAGUGUUUUUGCGCAUGCGCAAGCGCCGAAACCCAGAAGUAACUCGUUCCGGUACUUCCAGGUUUUGGCGUGUCUGUAACCCGAAAACACGCAACCUGAAGGGUCUGUAACCCAAGGUAUCACUGUAUGUCCUUCUCAGCCAGAGGGACACAGCAGCUUGGGUGCCCUGCAGGUCCCAGGCUGCCUGCAAAAGCAGUGCAGGGCCAGUGGAUGGAGCCACCACAUCCCUCUGUCUCCGUGCGCCCCCUCCCCAAACUGUGCCUGGGGCAACAGCACCCCCAGCACACCCCCCACACUACGCCUCUGCUUACUAUAACAACUUCAUGUGAGUGCUGGCACCUAUUUUUCUGGGGGGGGGGGAAGCACUGGUAAAAUGUAUUUUAUUUUAUUAUUUUAAUGCCACUCUUCAUUUAUGAUCUUAGGGCACAUAAAACUAGCAGUAAAGCCUAUCCUAGGACUAUACAAAAAUAGCAUACAACUUUAGUAUUAAAACGAAUUGUAUUCCAACAGAAUCUCAGAAUCUCUCCUAGAUGCACACACUGCUACUUCUUUAUUGGCUGACGGUGUGCCUAUCAAGGCUUCUCCAGAUCUGUGUUCCUGCCUCCUUGCUUCUGGUCUGUCUGGCUCACCUUCCAUUGGGGUGAUGGGAAAAGCAGUGCAGAGAGCAGUUGGCCAUUCAACUGCUUCUCAGCAGACCUGUUGAAGAUGAGGCAAAGGCAUAUGGAAGAAGCUAGUUCUUUAAGGAUCCUGGUCACAAGCUGUUCAGCACUGUGCAUUGCGCCUGAAAACAAGAUGUUUGAGUAGCUGUGGUGAAAUAUGUUCAGAACUGAUGCUUACCAGUUAACAGCCUACCUGGCGUGUUCUGAACCAGUUCACACUUCUGAAAAAUCUUCUGGCAGACAGACCCAUGUGCAGCACAUUGCUGCAAUUUAGCCUGCCCUAAGAUAUGCUAUAUGAAUACAGUGGUACCUCAGGUUACAUACGCUUCAGGUUACAUGUGCUUCAGGUUACAGACUCCGCUAACCCAGAAAAAGCACCACGGGUUAAGAACUUUGCUUCAGGAUGAGAACCGAAAUCGUGUUCCGGCGGCGCAGAGGCAGCAGGAAGCCCCAUUAGCUAAAGUGGUGCUUCAGGUUAAGAACAGUUUCAGGUUAAGAACAGACCUCCAGAAUGAAUUAAGUACUUAACCCGAGGUACCACUGUAUCCAUAAAUAGUAUUGUGUUGAACAGCUACUUUCAAAAUUUAAAUGCAUAGACUGUGGUUCAGAUUCAUUUGUUUGCACCCCACAAGGUAUUGCUCUUGCGUGGCACCACAGAAAAAAAGCUUUUGCCCAUCUGAAUCUAUGGCCAAUAUCAGUGACCAACCAUAUUCACUGAGGAAAUGUACAGCACAAGGAAACACCUCCUCAAAAUAUUCUCUGCCCUCUCUUAUGACCAAAGGCUGGGCAGAUAUCUGCUAUUGGUCUCUGCUUUUGGAUCUAAGAGCUCCACGUCACAAUGUCAUAACACAACUCACUUUCAGCUGCUUUUUGUUUGUGUGAGUAGUGAUGAGGGAGAAAUUUGGUCUGGUUCAUGUUUUAACAAGAAUUUACCUAAUUUGCACUCUAAGAAACAAUAUAUGUAUUGAAACACACCUGGCCUUCAAAAUCCACACUCCUUUGGAUUUUGCAAUGCCCUUCUCCAACCAAAUAAUGUGAACAAAAACAUACACAAUGGGGGGAAAAUGUGCAUAAGAAUGCAUGUAUUCCUGAAAAUAGCAUGGAAAAUGCAGUCUGCAUGGGGAAAUUGUUUGUAAAAAAUGUGUAUAUAGUAGGCAAAAUCCCGAUGACUUUUAAUGGAUACUUCCCCCCACCCCCUGUGGAAAUAUGAAUAAAUGAGAAACAGAGAGAAACAGAAACUUGGAUUCACUGAUCCACAGAGAAUGGGAGGUUGGUGAACUGUGGUCUGAGCUGAUUGGAAAACAAAUCAUCACUUAACUAAGUGUUGGCCUUCUGCACAACUCCACUGCAUGCAUGCCUCCACAUUCUUAGCAUAUUAGUUUGCAUAGCUAGGCCAUUUGCCAACAUGAGUUUCCCAGUGCUAAAUUUAGGGUUGUCUGCCUUGGGACAAUAGGCAUCAAAGCAUACACAUGUUUUCUGAAUGCAUGACAAACACUUAUUUAAUCAAAGGAAGCUUUUAGUGAGUCAGAAUGCUGCAAAGCAAAACCAGACAAAUUUGUUAUGAAAUGGGAACAGUGUAUCAAGCAACUUGUUCUUUCAUCUAUUCACAUUUUGUCUUUCCCCCUCUGCCACCCUACAGCAAAUAUGUAAAUGUGACAAGUAAGCAAAUACAGUGGUACCUCGAGUUACAAACGCCUCGGGUUAGAAACGCUUCAGGUUACAAACUCCGCUAACCUGGUAGAGUUACCUCGAGUUGAGAACUUUGCCCCAGGAUGAGAACUGAAAUCGUGCGCCGGCGGUGCAGUGGCAGCAAGAGGCCCCAUUAGCAAAAGCACGCCUCUAGUUAAGAACAGCUUCAGGUUAAGAACGGACCUCUGGAACGAAUUAAGUUUGUAACUAGAGGUACCACUACAUUUCAUCCAUUAGGUUUUAAUCUUUCUAAAUGUUUUUGUAUGUAAGCAUACAUACGUUGGAGAAUAGAUAGACUAAAAUAUUGCCAGGAGCUGAGUUAAUGACCCUGAAAACAUUGUGUUGACUUCUCUGCUCUCAAAAAUAGCUUUGAGGGCACUGUGCAUGCCCUAAUCAAGCUACCUUCCAUACUUAGGCUCUGAACAUAGACUAUCAUAACAUUGGGGUCAGCAGGUACCUUACUUAGCAGAGGAGAAAUUAUCAUAAAAAGGGAUGGGAGAGGACAUGAAAUUAUCCAUCAACAAUUACACCUGGAUAGCAGAUUGUGCAGGCCAGAUAGAUCACCUGGUUACAGAACCACUAUGGUGAGAUGCACUGCAUUUCCAUUUAAAUUACAGUGAUCGUUUCUAAAUUUACAUCAAUGCAUUUUAAUUAGCAUAUGCUAUCUUUUUUUAUUUAAAGCAGUGUCCUCUGUUGAUGCAUUUCCACUAUUUUGACAGUAUCCAACUGGUCACUACACCAUCAGUUCGACCAGACGUGCACACCUUAUUGCCCAGGGAUAACAGUCAUAGAAUUUGCUCCAAUAGUAAUUUUGCAUCAAUAGUUAUGUGUUUACGUGGCAAAGGAAUGAAUAAGAGUUGAGAGCAGGGGCCAGUCUGUUUGGACAAAGCUGAGAUAGAUGGGACAAGUAAAAGGCAGCUUCCUAUGUUCCUAUGCAUCAGGACAGUUUCCUUUGCAGCCAAUUAAACUAAGUCUUUAAACUGGUAUUUUAAAAUAUCUCUUUUCCUAUUCAACUCCAAUGGCGCUUCUGGUUGACCUUGUAUAUGGUACAUUGGGUGUGUUAGGCAGUGGGACCUUCAUCUGCAGUUCUGAAGGAUGAGCAAAGCUACUGCUUUGGAGCUAUUUACAGCCAUCCAGAUCCUCAUCAGCAUCCCCCAUCACCACAAACUGUGUGUCACACACGGAAUUGUGACAGGUUUACAUCGCAGGAAAAACCAGAAGUUCAAGCAAGCCUUUUGUGGGUCAGCAGCCUCUGAAGAAAAAUGUUGUCUUGCUGUCAUUUAGGCACAAGGGGAGUUGUUUGUGCUGGAGAAUGGCAGUAUGUGAAUAUAUUCUCUCUCUCUCUCUCUCUCUCUCUCUCUUUUCAGGCACACUAUGUUUCCCUGGGCUACUUGGUGACAGGUUUUCAAGGGAACUUUUUGUGCAUGGCUUUAAAACAAACAGACUAGUUCCCAUUUGUAGUUUAUCUCAGGAUGUAUAAAGAAGAAGACGGGGACAAUGUCACCAGGAGCAGGGAUGGGCUACUAAUACUCACCCCAAAAAUAUCCCAGAGAAAGCACAGGGUAAAACCCUCUACACUCCAAAUGUGACCUGAGCCAAUUGCUUCCUUUCCAUCACAUGCCUAGGACUAUGACCUUAGCAUCGUAGAAUUGUAGAGUUGGAAGGGACCACAAGCGCCAUCUAGUCCAGCCCCUCACAAUGCAGCAAUCCUUUGCCCAGUGUGAGACUUGAACCUACAAUCAUGGGAUUAAGAGUCUCAUGCUCUACCAACUGACCUAGUUAAUUUGUUGAUUUAUAUUUAUAGCCCACCCUUCACCAAUGGUCCUAAAGCAUGCUACAUUUUUUUUUAAAAAAAGACUGCAAUAUAAAACCACUGCUGAACAUAAGCAUCCGUUAAAAUGUCAGUUAAAAUCAUUUCAACAACAGUAACAAAAGUAAAAAUACAGCAAUCUGGGCAAAGAAGUGACUCUUGACUUGCUUGAUGAAAAAUAUAUAUGUAACAAUGGUGCCAAACCAGGCUCAGAGGGAAAGGCAUUCCUCAGCCUGGUGGUUACCACAGAGGAGGCCUUCUCAUGAGCCACCCUCGAAUGUCACAUGCUGCUAGGAGGCCCUCCUUGCCUUAGUUCUCACUGCAGCAAUGGUGACAUAUAAAUGUUGAAAACAGGGCAGAGAUCCAGGGCUCCAUAUUGUGAAAUUAAGUGACAAGAGACACCUUGCUUCAUCUGUGACAUGUUGGAAGGCAUGACACAUUGGAGACCCCAGGGCUGCGCACCAGACUCAGCAAGAGGCAUGUGCUAAGACAUUUUUUUAUUAAAAAAAAAAAAAAAGCAGUGCAAAAUGACAGCAGUGUGACAGUCUUACUAUCAAACAGGAAGAGAAAUGAAUAAACGGUUGGUGGGAAAUGGACAUAAUAUGCUUAUUGUGUUGUUUUAUGAUGUUACCUGCUCUGAGCCCGGCCUUGGCCGGGGAGGGCGGGAUACAAUUAUUAUUGUUAUUGUUAUCAUUGUUAUUAUUAGGCUGUUAGAACAAAGGAGAUUCCUGCUGCAUCAGACCAAAGGUCAUUCUAGUAGUCCAGCAUUCUGCUUCCAUUCAGAUGUUUAUGGAAAGCUUGCAAGUGGGACAUGAGCACAAUAGCAUGUCUUGCUUGCGAUUCCCAGUGAUUGAGUCUGUGUGCACAUUAUCAGCUUGAACAAUAGCCAGGUUCCCACCCCACUUUUUUUGUAUUGCUGCUUACACCAGAGAAGUGCCAGGGAUAUCUUCACCUGAUGCCCAUUACCUGAUUUCUUUCUUGAUGCUGAACUCCAGUUCACUGAAGCUGUCAUCUGCCUGAAAUGUACGCUCCUCAGCUUAACCGUGGUGUCCACAUUCUGAAUACCAGUUGCUGGAAACCUCAGGAAGGAAGAGUUCUCUUGUGUGCGAAUCCUGCUUGCUGGUUUCCCACAGGCAUCAGGUUGGCCACUGUGAGAACAGGAUGCUGGACUAGAUGGGCCAUGGGCCUGAUCCAGCCAACAAUUCUUGUGUUCUUAAUUGGUUUGAGGGAAAGCACAUCAAACUGGAGUAUUUCUCAAGAAGCUUCAGGAUAUCUAUGGAUUGUGGCUUAGGCUACGUAUACUCAGCUUCAAAUACUAGUAGUGGGAGCAUGCUGGAGCCAAAGUAAAUGGUAAAGCAGGCAUAUCAUCCCUAUCUAGCAGGACCAGUGGUCAGGGAUGAUGGGAGUUAUAGUCCCAAAACAUCUGGAGGGCCGAGUUUGCCUAUGCCUAUGGUAAAGUGUACCCACCCUCAUAUUCAGAAGCAUGCAGUCUCUGAUACUUGGAGGUAUUACAUACAGUGGUACCUCAGGUUACAGACGCUUCAGGUUACAGACUCUGCUAACCCAGAAAUAGUACCUUGGGUUAAGAACUUUGCUUCAGGAUGAGAACAGAAAUGGUGCGGUGGCGGCAGCAGGAGGCCCCAUUAGCUAAAGUGGUACCUCAGGUUAAGAACAGUUUCAGGUGAAGAACGUACCUCCAGAACAAAUUAAGUUCUUAACCCGAGGUACCACUGUAGUCAUCAUGACUGGUAGCCAUUGAUGUGUCUUUGCACACGUGGGGUGAGAUAGAGCACAAUGCAUUUGGGGUUGGUUUUGACUUUUUCUUUCUGAUUCUUUAGCAAAACAAACAAACAAAAUCUUGCCAUCACAUUGUAAAUUUUGUUUAUGGAUAAUCACAACAUCUAGGAAAUGGCCCAAUUUCUUUACUGAUACUUAGUUGUCUGAGAAAUCUAAUAAGAAUUCCCCAAAGCAUCUUGCAGAAUCACAUAUUUCCAACCCUGAUUGAGGCAUUUAAUAGACCCUAAUAAAGAGUUUAGUAGAUAUAAUUGUUUCUUCCCUUUUUUAUUUACGACAUUGAAGCUGCAGUCUUAUACACACUUUCCUGGGAGUAAAUCCCACUGAGUUUAUUUCUGAGUAGACAUGUAUAAUAUUGCACCAGCAGUAUCCUGCCUUUCAGUUCAAGGAGAACGGAUUCCAAUUAUGAAAUAAGAGGCACAACAAAUUUCAAUACAGUUACCAAUAAUAGAAAACAGAUUAAUAAUGUGAUCUCUGUGUGAAUGGGGUGUGCAUUUGCUUAGCAGUAUUAAAAAUAUAAGAGCAGAUUAAAAACAAAAUUAAAGCACUGGGAAAAUUAAAAAUAUAUGUGCUAGGCACAAAGGUAUUUGGUUUUGCAGAUUUACAUGCAUAAACAUUCCUCAGCUCAUAAAGAGUUAAGCCACCAUAUACUAUUAAUCUCAACUAAGAUAAUAAUCAAGUUGCUCAUCAUUCCAGUUGCAUCUAAUAUCUUCUCCAUUGCACUGGGAAUACUGCAGAACUGUGUAGCUGCAAUUAAAUAAUAUUAAAAGCAUUGCUGCCCAACUCUUCUUAACAUGAGUCAUCAGCAACUCUCUCUGUCUCUAGCUCUUUGCUGAUGAUGUAUUCAUUCCUGGCUGUUCUUGAAGCUUUUCUCCAAAAUCUGCAUAGAAAUUUUGUAUCCUCUAAUUUUUUCUCUUUUUUAAAAUAAAAAUAAAAAUGUGAAGAUCUAUUGGUACUCUUUCUUGUUUUAUUUUUCCCUUUUCAAAAAUCAUUAAAAACAAAAAAGAGAAGAGACCCAUGGACCUUGGAGAACAAGCUAUAUGGUCAGAGGUUUGGACCUAGCUAGGACUGAGUGAAGGAAGUGGAAAAGAGAAACACAGGAAGCUGCCUUAUAUGGAGGCAGAUCAUUGCUCCAUCUAGCUCAAUAUUGUCUGCACUAGCUGGCAGUUCAGGAUUUCAGACAGGAGACAUUAGCUGCCAUAUACGGAGAAGUCGAAGACUGAAUGCAUGCAAAACAGAUUUUCUAUCACUGAAUCACAGAGAGGGGCAGUGGAGAUACUAUGAACAGUGGCGUAGCAUUGGUUGCCAGUGCCCAAGGUGGGCACACAUGCGCCGGGCAGGGAGCACAUGCAUGGGUGUGUGUGUGUCCCAGCUCAGCACUUGCUGCUGGAGCAACCCCACUUUCACCAGAGUAAAGCAGUGCCACAUUGAGCCACCUGCCAACCUGUGCAGGGGGGAGCCUAGCUGGCUGACAUGGCCCUUGGUGGGCAGAGAGGAGCGCCCUGAGGGUGCCUGUAGAGGGAUGCCUAGUUCGUGUCCCUCAAGAAUUGUGUGCCUAUAGCCACACACCCUGGCACCCCCCACAUUAUGGCAGAUCUCUCGCUUGCUUGCUUGUGGCCAUCCUCAGGCACCACUCUUAUCCCCACUGGGUGGGGCCAAAGAGGGGAUAGCUGCAUGCUAAGUUUAGCUACCCCUUUUCCUCCAUAGGAAGGCAUAGGAGUCGAGGGGCAGAUCUACAAUCGUCGUUUAUAACAUUUAAAAUACGUUGUUAAAAUGUGGCACCAGAGGGCGCUGCAGAGCAGCGAGCCACCAGCAAAGGGAAAGGUAAAGGUAAAGGUACCCCUGCCCAUGCGGGCCAGUCUUGCCAGACUCUAGGGUUGUGCGCUCAUCUCACUCUAUAGGCCGGGAGCCAGCGCUGUCCGCAGACACUUCCGGGUCACAUGGCCAGCGUGACAAAGCUGCUCUGGCGAACCGGCACCAGAGCAGCACACGGAAACGCCGUUUACCUUCCCGCUGGUAAGCGGUCCCUAUUUAUCUACUUGCACCCGGGGGUGCUUUCGAACUGCUAGGUUGGCAGGCGCUGGGACCGAACGACGGGAGCGCAUCCCGCCGCAGGGAUUCGAACCGCCGACCAUGCGAUUGGCAGGUCCUAGGCGCUGAGGUUUUACCCACAGUGCCACCCACGUCCCUCAGCAAAGGGAAACUGCCAUUAAAAGUUAUAGAGAGUUAUCUUUUAUAACGUUUAGAAGAUCAAUGUAGAUCCAGGCCAGGACUAAAGCCUGCAAAGUAGAAAUGAAGAAAUCUGUCAAUUUUAGUUGUCUGCAUUUCUCAUUUUCCCAAUCUUAAAUUCAGUUCUCCAGGUUUCUGCAGCAAUUUGUGAAUUUCAUUUUUAAAGAAUCCUCAGGAAAAUUCACCAGCAGUUCAGUGUGAAUUUCUCCUGAGAAACACUUUUGUGUUUAGAUUUGACCAACAUACACAUCUUUGCAAAGCAACUUCUCCUAAUUUAAUGCAUUUCUGUAUGUAUCACUUUAUUCUACAUAUGCAUCUUUGUGCAUAUUACUUUGCUACAGAACUUCAUGGCAAAAUUCAGAGAAGUACAAGUUUUGAAUAAUGGUUGUGUUUUUUGGUUCACAUUUUGUUUUGCAAAGGUGGUUUGCCUUUAACAGUGAGCUGAAUUGAAUUUCUCCUUCAUCCUUACCUAAUGUUGGCCCAUGGGAAAUAAGGAGUACCCCUGUUUUAAUGUGCCUCUUCUCCCGGGGGGUAUAGAACAACUACACAUGGAAUGUUCAACGCUUAGGGAAGUGAGAAAUGUGUGUCACUAUAUCCUGUGAAGAUGGGGUUGCCAUAUUUCAAAAAGGAAUCCCCCUUGAAAACCAGAACAUGUCAGGAAUUUUUGUGACGUAUGGCAAUCCUAUGUGAAGAGCCACCUUUGCAGAGACGGAUCAGCCCACCGAAAAGGGUUUUAAGGCCCACUCCCCCCGCCACCCGCUUGCUUUGCUUGCCUGGUGCUGGAAAAGAAGACUUACCUGCCAACUUACUCAUUGGCUCACUGCCAAUGGACAGUACCAACAUUGAGGAAGAGAAACAGCAACCGCUGUUGAGAAAGGCAGGAAGGAGCUAGACAUUGAGGGAGAAGGGGCUAUGGAGGUUGCCCUGCUCACCAAAGGUAAUCCAAAACCUGGAGCUGGCACUGGCAUCAGUAUAUAGGUUGCUAGUCUAAAAUCAGCCUGGCAUAAAUUCAUCACCAUUCUUUAUAUUAUUAACUAGCUGUCAACCUAUUUUCUUCCUGUCAGGGAACUGACAUCGGAGCUAGAGGCGGAGGGAAGGCUCUCAAAUGAUGCUGGAGAAGGGCCCAGCAGGGAGAGAGGCAGCUCAGCAGAUGGGGAAGCAAAUCAGCGCAACACCAGGAAUAAAGGGGGGCAGAUGGGGGAAUCAGACUCUUCACCGGACACCAGAAUCAGAGGGCUCCCAGACUCUUCACCGGACACCAGCGGGGAGAGCAUGGGUCCUCCGCUACCCACGCCCUCCCUGCGCAGAAGACUUCCGCGCAGAGAAUGUAGGAGGGGACUGGGUGUCAAACAACUUUUAUGUUGGAAAAGGUUUAAGAAACGCCCACUGACAGAUUCUGCUAGCGACUGAGGCAGCCAUGAAUUGAAGGGCUGUCCAGACUGAAAGGUUUAACAAGGCAACAAAGCCAGGAGAGGCAGCAACUUACGCACGAGCAACCCAUACUCAUUACACUUCCAUUCCUUACUAAGCAGAUAUACACGUCAGUGGUGGAAAUGGCACUCUGGCUUGGACAAAGAAGCUGCCUUAUAGGACAUCUUAGGAGGGGAGCCAUGCUAUUUUGAACAUACUGCCAAGCCACAUGGAUGCCUCUCCAGGCCUGGAAUAAGCUCAUCAAUAGGAACAGCAGGAGACCGAUUCACACUGAUCAUGCUGGACCUGCUUUAUGGGCAAACAGAAAGUGGCAGACUCCAGACUCUGCAAUCAGCCUGGCACUUCUUGUAAGCACCAAAUGCUGAUUAGGAAGCCACUUGUGGCUGGGACUUGAGCCUAGUCACUUUCUUCUACUUGUGGUGACCCAAUUAUUAAUCGAGGAGGGGGAAAGCCAUUUUUCCACAUAGGAAAGCACCAUAGAUCCCACACAAAUAAAGCCUGGAAUUAUGGAAUCAAAAUUGCUUUUGCAAAUUUAGAUGAAUGCAAAGAACCUGACUUUUGUUUCAGUUGGGUAGAGUUGGUGCACAAAGGAAUUAUUUUUUUUAGUAAGUAAAACAAGAAUAAGAAUUAGUAGCAAGAACAUUUUCAUGUUACACUUAGCAUGCUCUAUCUGAAAACACAAGAGCUAUACUCAAGUAAUCAAAGAUGGAUAUAAAACACAAGUGGAAAGCAACUAGGAAUUGUGGAGAAAAGGAAAGUGAUGAGCAAGGGGAGAGGAAAGGGGGGGUGGAUACAUUGCCCUCACCAUUGCAUUGCUUCCUGCUCUUUCCCUCUCUUCCCUUUUCACUUUGCAUCAUCCCACCUUUCCUUUCCACUCACAUCUGUUGAUUCUGCACCUGGGUCUCCAUUUAGCCAUUUGGCUGUCUCUGCACCAGAUAGUUGGGGCUAGGAGCCAACUUUUUACAUUUCUCAUGUCAUAGCUUCACUGCAGUACAUUGUGGGGAACUUGAAUAGUGAGCUCCAGUUGUGGUCUAGGAACAGGCAUCUACAGAUGAAACUCGGAAAAUUAGAAUAUCACGGAAAAGUUAAUUUAUUUCAGUAAUUCAUGCCACGCUGCAUAGAGGCAGUAAUUGAGACAAAAGGGGCCCAAACCAAGUACUGAGUACAUAUGCAUGCUUCUACUUCUCAGAGGUCAAAUAUUGCUCUGUUUGCGAUCCUUGUUUUGCUGAUUUCAUUUAACAUUCUAAUUUUCUGAUAUUGUUAAUUUGGGGUUUUUAUCAGCUGUACCCCAUAAUAUCACAAUUAUAACAAAUAAAGGCUUGGCAUAUCUCGCUUUGCAUGUCAUGAGUCUAUCUCAUAUAUUAGUUUCACCUUUUAAGUUGAAUUACUGAAAUAAAUGAACUUUUCCUCGAUAUUCUAAUUUUCCAAGUUUCACCUGUAAAUUCCUCACAAUAUGCUGUCAUAACAUCACUACAGGGCAUUGUGGGAAAAUCUAAAUGACAGGGGCCUCUGGGAACAGCUAUUUAAAUUCCCCACUAUGCCUCGGAGUGAUGCUACAUUGGUAAUAUCAUGGGACAUUUGAAUUGGCGUCUUCACCAGAGCAGUUGGGGCCCUACUAGAGUUCAGUCUUUGACCAUGGCUCCAGAGGAACCUGAUGGAAGGAAGAGUAGUGGUUUGAGACCUCCAGGGCCACAGGGAACCCCAAAGAGCCUAUGGUCACGGUCAAGCAGCCCAAGAUAUCCAGCCCCAAAGACAUCUUGUCUGCCUGCACUGCAUGACUCCACACACAGCACUUGAACCCCUACCCAUUCCUCACAGGAACAGAAAUGGCAUUGGGCCUAGCAAUAACUCCACAGCUGGCAGAGGAGCACUCACAUGGCAGCCAGACAGCUUCAUUACUAGGAAGCUUCACAGGAGUGUGGAAAGACCCAGAGAAGCACCAGGUGUGCAUUGGGGUCCAACAAAUGGCCAGCAAGAGAAGAGCCGACUAAGAUAAUAUAAAUCUCCUAAUCUCUCCUGGUACUUUGAUGGGAUAAGCCACUGGUCUUCAACUGGUGGGGCAGGACUGACCCAAGGUGGGUUGCAGCAGGAGCACUACCACCAUGCAAAUGUGUGGGAAAACAUAUGUUUAUAGGGCUGCUGUAGACAGCUCAUCCUAGCUCUGAUUUGCGCUGCUCUGAGGAGGGACCCCUAUGCUUCCAUCUCCAGAUUGGGGGGGGGGACACACACCAGCUUUUUGCUUUUUAAAAAAUUCUAACUGGUCUUCUGGAUAUUUGUUCUGACUGCACAGUUUCCCACUGCCUCCUGUUGUCAUUAUUGCAAUCCAGUGAAUGUAUUUGAGGUUAAUUGGUAUUGUUUGACCUGUGAGCAUGCUCAGAGCUCUUUUCUUCAAGGCCACACCUCUCAAGCUGUUUGUAGGCCAGCAGGAGAAACUGAGCAGUUUGAAAUUUUUAUUAGUCUUUUUAAACACACAUGAAGAAAUAAUGGAUGGUGUUUCUAUGCCAUUUAUCUGUUUUCUUUUGCCUUUUGUUCUUUAAAUUAUUUGCAUUUAUUUUAUUUUAUUUAAAAAAAUAUUUUUAUUGAUUUUCCAAUAUUGUUCCAAUAUCAGCCUCAUUAUAACAAUGCCAAUUUUAUCCAUUUAAUGCAAUUAUUAAUCCCCAUUAUUCAAAUGUCAAAUUAUACAAUUUAAUUAAACUGGCAUGCUAGAAUUGAUGGCUUCGUUCUCCUACAUUUUUUCUGUGUUUAAUAAUUUCCAUUCCAUUCCAUUCAGAUAUAGCAAUCCCUUAUAUAACAGCUACAGUCUUGUGAUUUCUAUUCGUGUUGGUAUUUUAGGUAAUUUAUAAAGUUUCAAGUGAAGAACUCUAACUGUAAUCCUCAUUCUUUCCUGCAUGUGACAGUUUUCCCCCAUGAUGUUUUCCUGUCCAUAUGUGGUGUUGUAUCCUUCAUUCCUGCAACUAUUGAGGGUUCCCAUCUUGCCGCAGUUAUCCCACAGUUUCCAAAAGUCGCUGCAUCGCUUCAUCCUGUAAUUUGGCUUCCAGUAAACAAGCCAUCUUCACUAUUUUUUUCCAGCCUAGGAAGAACGGUCUGAAUCCAGACUGCAGAUAAUCCAAAAACUUCUAUUCCUGCAGUUUGUAGACGCCUUUCCUCCCUGUUGCUGAUUUAUGGCCAAUUGUGCAUUUUUAUUAAUACACUGGGGUAUACUAUAGGACUGGGAGACAAAACAGUGGACAGCAGCGGUAACGCAUGGGAGGGGAGUUGUUGGGGAAAUUGCCAAUGGCUCAUUUUCUAGGAGGGGGUGCGGUUCACAUCCUUCUCACGCCACCCUCCCCAAGCCACUUGGCGAGGCUGGGUUCUGAUCAGAGGCUUGGCUCAUUCCAGCCUCGCAAAGGGACUCAGGGCUGGUGUUGCUCUGGCAGUGAGGGCUGGGCUGGUGCACAGUAGACUCCUUUUGCUCUCCACCCCCUGCCCCCCCCCAGCACGUGUGUGCUCCCCCCCGGCAUGGUUAAAGCAUGCUGCACCACUGGUGGACAGUGGACUGUGCCCCUGCACUUGAUGGACUAUUGGGAGGUGAGAAGCUGGUGAAUAUAAAUUACUGUAUUUUCCGUGUAUAAGACACCCCCUAUUUUGGGGGACUACAAAUAAAAUGGGGGGAGAUUGUCCAGAGUUGUUGAGGUUUGGGGUUUUUUUUUGCCAAAAACCGCUUACCCACCAGACCUAUACUGCCAAUCGCACGCAACGCAAAAGCAACCUAUCAUCUGUGCCCGCUCCAGCAAAAGGCUCCAAUCGCACGCCCUAUUGCUGCAGCGACAGCCUAUCAACAGCCACUGACAAUCUCUGGCUCGCAGAACCAACCACUCACACCUCCACCCUAUGCACUAUCCAUGUAUAAGACAACCCCAAAUUUUUAACAUAAUUUUUUCUUAUUAAAACCUCGUCUUAUACUCGGAAAAGUACGGUAUUUUCUGUUUCCCUGAUGUGCCCACUCUCUAUGUGUUUGGCAGUGGUGGUGGCAGUCCAGUGGACUACUUGUCUGCCUUUUCUGCAAGUGUGGUUGUUCCCAAAGGCUUUUAGAAAGUUGGCUGCAGUAGGUUUCUACUCUCUUAGUGUCCCACUCAUGGGAUUGCAGUCAGAAAGUUGGGAGGAGCUGGUAGAUCUUUGUCUGCAUUCCAGCUUUUGCUCCCUUGCUAAAGUUGCAGUCCAAACCCCACUUAGAUGGAAGUUAGCCCCACUGUAUUUGAUAACUCUUAGAUCUAAGUAGACAUGGUUAGGCUUUUGCUGUAAGGUGAUGACUUGCUCAAUUAAAAAAGAUUUCUACUGCAUGCUUUGUUGCUCAUAAAGGCUUUUGGCAAGUUAGGAGGGUUUUGCAGUAAGUGCCUCUCCUGUAGUCCCAAGCAGACUCCUCUUUCUGCGAGUUUGUUUACUCACAGGUGCUAUUAGAAAGUUGGAUGUGGGAUGUUGGGGUCAUUGCUUGUUAAGACUGCUGAGAGUUUUAAACUGAACACGAUUCCCCCUCCCGCUAAGAGCUACAAUUUCCAGAGCUUCCUGGAGGAAUUAAUGGUUAAACCACUCUGGGAAUUAUAGGUCUGUUAGGGGAUUGGGGGUCAUCUAACAACUCUCAACACUCUUAACAAACUACAGCUUCCAAGAUACUUUUGAGGAAGUGCUAUGAGACAGCUUUAAAUGUAUAGUGCAGAUGACACCAUUAUAGGGUUGGAAAAGCAGCCAAGGUGAUUGACGGGUUGGAGCAACUCUCUUUGCCAAUCUGGGAUGUAGGCCAAGAUCUGGCUCCUGAUAGGGGCACUGAUGCCACAAUUCCCUCGUUGGGGUCUUAGUGGAGCCUCUGCCAUCCCACAAUGCCACCACACGGAAAGGUGAGCGGACUUAUUGUUUCCUGUUUUUAAACGUUGUUUUUAUUGUUAUUUUAAUGAAUACUUAAUAUCAUUAUGAAAACUGCUUAGAGCGAUUUUUUUAAUUAAGUGGCAUAUAAAACUUGCUAAAUAAAAUAAAAAUGUGUGUGUUUGCUUUUGAAAAGAACGAUGAGUAACGGGAAACAUUAUCGUGAUGCAUAAAUUUAUUCAUCAUGUGAGGAGAGAUUUUUUUCUUCUCUCACAAUAGUAGGAUCUGAGGUCAUCCAAUGGCAGGUAGGAAAUUAAGGAGGAGUCCUUAACACAGAAUGGAGUUGAAAAAUGGAAUUCAGCUUCCAGAAGAUGCUAUGAUGGCCACCAACAUGGAUGCCUCUAAAAUGGGGUAAGACAAGUUCAUGGAGGAUAAAGCAAUCAGUGGUUAUUUAUUAAUUCUAAUGACUAUGUUCUCCCUCCAGUAUCAGAGGCUGUAUGCCUCUGAAGACCAGCUGCUGAGAAUCACAAGCUGGAAAGUCUCAUAUUUUGCUCAUGUCCUGCUUCUGGGCUUCCCAGAGGCACCUGACUAGCCUUUGUGAGAACAGAAGACUGGACUAGCUAAGCCUUUGGUCUGAUACAGCAGGAUGUUUCUUAUAUUCUUAUGAGUGUAGAAUGAAGCGUGUCUCCAAUUUUAAUCCAGACGAAAAGAGAGAGAUGAGCCCCAGGUAUCUAAAGUUUUGGGAACACUGCAUUGAAUCUAUGACCUCAAAUUUGCUUUUUCAGUUUUCAGUUCUCAUUUAAGGUUUCAUAUUUUUUUCCGCAGAGAAGCAAUGUGAUUGGCAUUUGAGAUAGGCUUCACAAAAGUUGAACUUGCAAGAUCAAAGCCUUGCCAAGACCUGAGCUCCACAGCAAGUUAAUUAAAAUGAACAAAAUGACUUCUGCAAAACU